AGUACCGAUGGACCCGUCCUCCUCAACUGCAGCAGUUCAGCAGGUCUGGUUCUGUCCCUCCCUCAUCUACAAUUCUUUAUUUGUGUCUUUUUUUGACUUGUGCGAUUCUUUAGUUGUUUCCUUAAGGCUUUGUCCGAUUCGAUUUAUUCCCCAAAGAGAACCAAUCAACACAUGUUACUCAGAUCCUUUAGGGAUUGAAUCCCUUGCAUCAACUAUUCCCCUUUAUAUAAAUAUUAUUCGGUUAUAUACAAAGUUUAGCAGGGAUUAUUAGUUAUUAUAUCAUGAUGGCAGACAACAAAACACAGAGGAGACGUUUGGUUCAGAUCAUGUUAACGCAAAUGGUAACGAAAUCAUAAUACACUGGUAAUGGAAAUGGAAUGAGAAAAACUCAACUUUGUUUGUUUUGUCACUGUAACGGUAUGCAUAUACAAUAUUUCAUUCUGAUUCAUGACUUGGGGAAGAUUUUAUCUGAACAACAGCCAUAGGUCAGCACGAACACUGCAAGCACUGAAUCUAAAACCAAAAGGCCGUGCAGCUGGUGAUGCUCUUGCGCUACCGUCGAUGGCGUCUCACUGCUCUACACAACGUACUGCCACCCCAUGGCCGUCGUGUUGUCCUCCUGGUCCGCUGCCAUGAACGGCUUACUGGUGCCGGUAGAUAGGUUGAGCGACGCCGCCAGUUAGGGCCGCCUGGUCGGCUCGACUGCUCUUGGUUGUCGCAUCCCACGCGAACCACGGCCCCUCCGCCCCUCCCUCGCCCCCUUGCCGGAGAUCAGAUUUGAGGAGACGAGAAAGAACGGGAGGGAUAACCCUGGUACCGUUAACUUUUGCCGAUGAGGGUUGAGCGGUACCGACCGUCAGUAACAAUGUAAUUGGAUUACAUGGAAAGGGAUUACAACCCAUGUAAACCAAACACGAGUAAUGUUUUCAAGUUACGCUGUAAUCUGGUUACGGGCAAAAAUUGACGAACAAAAAAACCUCCAGAGAUUUCAAGCACAAGUACUCUUAUUAUAAAAAAUCAUGAAUCAAUGUACGUAUAGAUCUCAAUUAAUGCAUCAUUACAUUGCUUUUCCUAGACAACCACAUGUUUGUUUACCACGAUUAUUGCUAGUAUAUAUUUUCUCAUUUAAUAGUAAAGCGAGAUCUUUUUCUCUUGUUGUUUCACAGUUUAAAUCUUCACUGCAAAGGCAUUACACAGUUACUAAUAAGCUGAGUAUACUCUAAUAAGUAUAUUGGUAAUCAACUCUAAUACUAAGUUGAUUUCACAAAUCUGGAAAAUGAAAAAACCAAAUAUACGCCCACAACAGCCACAACAACUGAUUAGUUUGUGAGGAGAAUUGAAUAAUUCCGCCCUAGCUAGGAUGUAGCAGGAAACUAGGAUCAAGAACCGUCUCAAUCUAACCCUAGUAUAUAACUUAAGAAGGGGAGAAGAAAGAGAAGGGCGAUGUAUCCGUGUCGCCGUCGCUGCCGUCGGAAGAUGGCUGCCCCGUCCCUGUCACUUCUGCCUUGUGGUGCAGACUCGCAGUGUUAUGUUCCUGUUCAAUCCAUGACGUCUUUCUAUGCAUGAAUGUGUAAUGCAAGGAGAAGACCCUCUAGCCUGUACGACCGCGCGCCCAAGCUAGCGCUACCGGCAGCAAGCCAGCAACUACGCCAUCAUUUCCUUGCCUAUAGUCCCUUAAACCUCUCACCAAACGUGUUCUUCCUCCCAUCUCAUCCUCGUGAAGGGGUUGAAAGUGCUGGCUAGCGAUUCUCUUCCAUCUUCUCCAUAUUUGGUGAGCUAAUAUUCUAAAUUUUUGCCCCCAACAAUUGAUUCCUCACAAAAUUUACAUCACCCUUUUGCUCCUGCUCACCCUUAUUCAUGUGGAGCUAGCAACUUAAAUUGGGCAUGGAACAAUCGUAAGUGCCAUUACUUUACUAUUUGUACCUACAGUUCUGCUUCUUGAUUUUCCUGUGUGAUUACUUUACCUCGCGGCAUUCAUUUCAGGUGGCUCUUUCAAAUUAUGAGUGGAUAUAGAAUGAGGUAUCUGUGAUCUUUCAGUUUUUGUUCUUUCAAUUGUUUUCCUCUUACCUUAAUGAAUUUAUUUAUCAUAUAUCUCCUUUAAUUUCCUGAUUGAACUACAUGUGGACCAGUAUGUACUUGCCCCGUUGAACUACUAUCUAUAAUAGGGAGAUAUUGUGCCUUUUGCUUUGUAACAAACGAAUUCAUGGCAUGUGUGUUUGGCUCAGCUACUUUGGAUUGUAUAUGUGUUUUUUGGGAAAUGUGUUGUGUAAUACACAAAUGCUUAACCAUGGAUUGUUUCUGCAACCAACACAAGUGACCUCUUCUCAAGUUUGUUUUCUUUUCACAAUUUUAGUUUAGUGAGUAACUACUCCAUAUUUGGUUACUUGAGUGUCCUCUACUGACAACUGGAUAUUAGAUGUCUCAUUGAUCGUGCACGCAUGCCCGAUAAUUCUGUCAAUCAGGUAUACCUAAUCUUUCUUUGAAAUGGCCGCAUGACUGUGUCCAUGAAGCCAUGUGUGACUCUCAUGUGCGGGUAAUAAAAUGCAUCUCUGCAAGUAAUGGCUAACCAACGAUACUGUUGAUGUUAAAUGCUAUUUGGUUGCUAUGUGUGUCAUGAAGCUUGGUUUGAGUACCCAGUAUUACAUAGGCACUGCCUAGGUUCUCGAAAUUAGUUUAGAUGUAUCCUCGUAUGCUUAAAUUUGGCUAGUGUUGAAAUGAAAUCUCUUAACUAUAAGAUAACAUAGUAUACGGAAUGUUCUACACUAGAUCAGAUGGGGUGAUGAUCUACUUUUUUAUUUCUAAAUGCUUUCAGUUUGGUUGCCCCUUGCCAUGUUUUAUUGGAGAGAAAAUGUGGCCAUGAGUUGAUAACUGAAACUGUCCCAAAUCUGGUGAUGCUUUUUUUCAUGUUGUUGCUUCUGCAGGUUCUGAUAAUCUUAUUCAUGGAUCAGGAAAUUAUAAUUUGUGACUUUGUAGUUCUCAGGUAACUACGAAGUUUUGUGUGAUGUAGAUUAUCUAAGGAUAUUCAAGUUGUUUGCACUGAUAUUUUCUCUUAAUACACCAUAGCAAGCAUGGCUAAUGAAUCAUCCCAAGCUAAGUAGUACAGGAGUAAUGUGACGCAAAGCUAAUUAGUGCAGAGACCUUUGGAAAAUGGAGAUGUUCAAUUUUCUAGUAAUCGGUACUAUUGGAUUUGCCAUUAGCCAGUUACUGAAUUCAUCUCAUUGUUAAUAUAAUAUUAUGUUUGUAUAAUUUCGAAUAGUAAAGACAAGCUGAUAGUUUUCACAAUGGACAUCCACAUCCUAUAGGUCAAAGGUGCUUGGAGUUUUGCUGAUCAAAGAUAAAUAAAUAAAUUAGUAGACAGAUAUAGGUUGCAUAAUCUGCAAUGUUGUUUAAUAAAUUCAUGUUAAAGCAGUUUUUCUAUUCAGAUUAUUAAUUAGCCUCACAUCUACUUAUAAAACUAAGUCCUUGUUAAUCACAUUUGUAUGGUGGCCAUUUAAAUUUUACUUCUCUAUUAGCCUGAUUUUCUCUACUGUAAGUUACUCACCUCAUAUUGUUGUUGUAGAUCACCAAGAUAAAUUGACGAUGCAUGGGUCAUAUGUUCAUUGCAAGGAUAAGAAUGGAGCUACUACAAGAUAAUUAGAAUGCCAUUUUAGGAUCAAUGUUUCAAACAUUAUAGUUGAUUGCAAGGUCAAGAAUUGGGCCACUACUAGAUAUAGAUUCACCUCUUGUAAUCGUUGGACCAUGUUCUUUGUAAUGCAACAUAGUCGAUUUAAUAUAUGAAAUCUAUAAUCUUUGGACCAUGUUCUUUGUAAUGCAACAUAGUCGAUUUAAUAUAUGAGAUCUUUUGGUUUGUUAUACUGUGCUUCCUAUGCACUAUGGGCAUUG
rnacentral:lncRNA from 1 species